rnacentral:rRNA from 1 species
GACGAACGCUGGCGGCGUGCUUAACACAUGCAAGUCGAGCGAUGAAGUUUCUUCGGAAAUGGAUUAGCGGCGAACGGGUGAGGAACACGUGAAGAAUCUGCCCUCCACUUUGGGAUAACACAGGGAAACCUGUGCUAAUACCGAAUAUUGAAACAUAAGUGGCAUCACUGAGUUUUGAAAGAAUUUCGGUGGAGGAUGACUUCGCGGCCUAUCAGCUAGUUGGUGAGGUAAUGGCUCACCAAGGCAACGACGGGUAGCCGGCCUGAGAGGGCGACCGGCCACACUAGGACUGAGACACGGCCCAGACUCCUACGGGAGGCAGCAGUGGGGAAUAUUGGGCAAUGGAGGAAUCUCUGACCCAGCGACGCCGCGUGCGGGAUGAAGGCCUUCGGGUUGUAAACCGCUUUCAGUAGGGAAGAAGCGAAAGUGACGGUACCUACAAAAGAAGCACCGGCUAACUAUGUGCCAGCAGCCGCAGUAA